UUACGAAGGGGGGCUAGCGUUGUUCGGAAUUACUGGGCGUAAAGCGCACGUAGGCGGAUAUUUAAGUCAGGGGUGAAAUCCCGGGGCUCAACCCCGGAACUGCCUUUGAUACUGGGUAUCUCGAGUCCGAGAGAGGUGAGUGGAAUUCCGAGUGUAGAGGUGAAAUUCGUAGAUAUUCGGAGGAACACCAGUGGCGAAGGCGGCUCACUGGCUCGGUACUGACGCUGAGGUGCGAAAGCGUGGGGAGCAAACAGGG
rnacentral:rRNA from 1 species